rnacentral:lncRNA from 1 species
CGAAACAUCUCUGGUUUCUCGGCUUGACUUGGUUGAGUUUUCUUUUACUGAUUUGGUUUACUUGCAUGGAUGAAUUCCCUCCCUCUAUUUACUUAACUCAUGAUCCAAUUCUGGUAUAAAAUAGGGUAGAAUGCAUAUGUAAAGAUUGUUGAGCAUAGAGUACAUAUAUAUGUACAUAUUGUUGUACGGUCACAUUAAUUGUACAAGGCGCUGAAUGUUUUUUUAUCUUUUCCUAUAAAAACAACAAUGAUGUACAUAUAAAGGGUCUUUCAUAGAUUGUUAUGUUUGACGUAUAUACAACAAUGAUAUAUAAUUGUUAUAUGGC